CACGUAGGGGGCGAGCGUUGUCCGGAUUCAUUGGGCGUAAAGGGCGCGCAGGCGGCCCGGAAAGUCGGAUGUGAAAACUCGAGGCUUAACCCCGAGCCUGCAGUGGAUACGGGCAGACUAGAGGUAGGUAGGGGAGAAUGGAAUUCCCGGUGUAGCGGUGAAAUGCGCAGAUAUCGGGAGGAACACCGGUGGCGAAGGCGGUUCUCUGGGCCUUACCUGACGCUGAGGAGCGAAAGCGUGGGGAGCGAACAGG
rnacentral:rRNA from 1 species